rnacentral:rRNA from 1 species
AGUGAACGCUGGCGGUAGGCCUAACAUAUGCAAGUCGAACGGCAGCACAGGAGAGCUUGCUCUCUGGGUGGCGAGUGGCGGACGGGUGAGGAAUACAUCGGAAUCUACCUUUUCGUGGGGGAUAACGUAGGGAAACUUACGCUAAUACCGCAUGCGACCUACGGGUGAAAGUGGGGGACCGCAAGGCCUCACGCGAUUAGAUGAGCCGAUGUCCGAUUAGCUAGUUGGCGGGGUAAUGGCCCCCCAAGGCGACGAUCGGUGGCUGGUCUGAGAGGAUGAUCAGCCACAUUGGAACUGAGACACGGUCCAGACUCCUACGGGAGGCAGCAGUGGGUAAUAUUGGACAAUGGGCGCAAGCCUGAUCCAGCCAUACCGCGUGGGUGAAGAAGGCCUUCGGGUUGUAAAGCCCUUUUGUUGGGAAAGAAAUCCUGUCGAUUAAUACUCGGUGGGGAUGACGGUACCCAAAGAAUAAGCACCGGCUAACUUCGUGCCAGCCGCCGCGGUAAUAC